GUGGGAGAGUUGCGAGCAGGCUGAUGUAUUCUGGCAGUCCUGAAUAAAUAAGUUCCGUGAUACCCGCCAUCGUUUUCGGUGCUUAUUACAACCCACCGAUAUAUCACAUUGGCGAUGGGGAUGACCGGUCUGCAGUGAGGGGAUUCGGCGCGAUGGAAAUGUGAAGGAAGCGCAGGGAUUUUCCCGAACGGCAAGACCGAGGAAAUGGCGCUAAUCGGACGAGUGGACGAGUUUAAGUAGUCACGGGAGGACUUUGCAUCCUACCUGGAGAGAUUUGAAAUCUGGCUACAAGCAAACAAUAUUACGGAGGAAAAGAAGCGUCAGCGUCACCAUUGCACAUCUCUUCAGUGGCAAACAGUUGGAUUCAGCUUUGUAAUCCAAGAUACACAGCAUUUCUUCUUGAGGUAAGCAUGCCUUCAUACGUCAAUACACAUGGAAAGGGGAGUGAAGGAGUUUUUCAAAAGGAGCUUAUGGGAACAUAACGUUACAGUGAGCACUUGCAUCAACGUCCUGUUGAAUUUGAAGCUUUCAUCUAUAUGAGGUGUAACGUUUGGUUUUGUGGUUGUGUGUUAGCUAAACAUUAAGGUUAGCUAACCUUUAGGUUACUUCACCAGAGGCUCGUUAAGAAAAUAUUUGCUUGUUAUUUAAAAUUGUUAGUGUUUUUUUGUUUUUGUUUGGUGGGCCGGAUUAAAAGUUUGCCUAUGUCUGGUUUAUACUAUUAUACAGAGAUCAGUUUACAUUUUAACGAGCCUGUUAGUGAAUGUAGAAUAAGGUAUUCGUGAAGGUAGAAGUAAUUUGGUAGAUGUUCAAUUAGGGCCUCAUCUUUUCGAUGUACGGUGCGUAAUACACAAUCGUUUUGCUAUCUCAGAAUACUGAUGAAGAUACUGUUCUACGAGACAUUGCAAUACAAAGGAUAAAAUUCUACAGGAAUUUCCAGACAUCGGUAUCGUUUUGGAUGGACUUUUGGUUCUGACUGCACUGAGGGACUUUUCAAAGGCUCUGUCUGCUGGUUGGGUUUGGGUAUGCAGAACCUUAAAAUAAUGAGCCAUUGGAGAAAAUAAAUGAAAUUGUUGUUAAGGUUAGAACUCUCAAACGUGGUUACUGUUCAAUGCUUGAUAAUAAUACUUUUAAGAUUCACAUUGAGAAGUUCAGUUUUAGUUUUUUAAUGCUGCAUUAUUUGUCUUGUUCAAAUGUAUAUAAACCAUGCUCAUUUAAUGCAGCUGUUUCUGUACGCAUUUAUACAAUUUUGCACAAACUGUUUGUUAAGCUGUUUAAUCAAGAUGUAUUGAGUGAAUUAGACAUAGAAAACAAGUAAUAUUAUUGAAUAGAUUUAAAGUCCAACUCAAACUUUGAUUUAAACAAUUUAAGUCCAGAAUGGCAAUGACAAUGUGUUGAAUUAACUAACAAUGUGCUAAAAUGUAAGUUGAUAAUUAUAUUAAUUAUCACUUUGUUGCCACAAACCACUGGUCAGAUUUUUUAGGGUGAAGAUGUCAAGGCAAAUGCUUGUUCCCUCCUUUAUGCCUUAUUUUGACUUUCUAUCCUAAAAUGUAACUCAUCUGUGGUCUUUUGGUGACGGUGGUGGAAUUGGGCGAAGACUCCUUUAACCACGUUGCUUUUGUUAAACUCUCGUCAUGCAAGAUAAUUUCACCCCGGCAAAGCCAGGCAUUUUGCUGGGGUUUUCAUGGAAACAAGGUGGAAGCUCCUGCUAGUGCCAGUCCAUUAAGUGGCUUUUUAACAUAGAGGAAAACGUGAUGCAUCUUAUCUGAUGCUCAUUUUCCUCCUUGGCCUGCUGGAAAAUAUGUCCUUAUGUCACAGUUGUGCAUUCAGCCUGCGUAGAGCUCCAGCAUUUCAUUAUCUAUAUAGGUUCAGUUUGUGUUAACUCAUAAAAAAUUACAUUUUCUAAUUUAAUGUAGAGAUUCCAUACAUAUGACCUGAGCAUAUUCAUGGUGCCCAGCGGACAAGAGCGUGUUGAGCUUUUGUUAUUGAGCAAGUCUUUGGACAACUGUAGUUUGGUAUUCAUUACUUUUUUUAGAGGACCUGAAGUGUCAAAGUAUUUUAGAGUCCUCAUGAAGAGGCUGUUUUGAAUCACAUCCUCUAAACCUCAGGCGUAACCUGUAACCAGAGGUGUCAAGUAAAAAAGUAUUUGUACUUCAUACACCUUACUUAAGUUUUGGGUAUCUAUACUUACUGGAGUAUUUAGACGACUUUUUAUUUACUCGUAAAAUUUUCAUGCAAAUAUCUGUACUUUCUACUCCUUGCAUUUUAAAAAUAGCUUUGUUUCUUCUGGCUUGUCGUCCAAAAAAUCAGAGUGAGGCCGGGUGUAAUUGUCGGUGGAAGGUUCCUUUUUCAGAACGGCACACGCCAAUCUCAGUUGGGUAUUUAGUGACAUGGACCAGUCUCCUCCUUGUCAUGCAAAUUCCAUGUGACGUUAAAUGAAUAUCUAUCUGGGUUUUUGUGUAAAUGUUUUUUUCUAACUUUAUUGAGAAUCUGGUACAACGUAGCGACUUGCAAGUAGCGCAUCGUCUUAAAUAAAGUGAUGUGUGUCUUAAUGCAAGGCUUUGGGAAUGAACCAAUCUGCAUCUGCAAAACUGCUUGUCCCUCCCUCACUGAGAGCAAAACACCCAACUAGAUCAUGACUCUUUGCUGUCCUUGCUCGUAAAUGGUGGAACAAGCUCUCCGUUGGCACCAGCAGUGCAGAGAGCCUUCACAUCUUCCGCCGCAAACUAAAGACACACCUCUUCAUACUCUACUUCGACUAAAAGACUAACAAAUUGUAGCAUUAAAAAUUGUACUUGUAACGCCACUUAUCUAUAGCAAAUUGUAAAUUGGCUUAUUUGAGGAAAUUGCACUUUCUUGUUUUGAGUUUUUGUCUUGUUGAGUUUGUAUCCCUAUGGUUGAAUGCCCUUAUUGUAAGUCGCUUUGGAUAAAAGCAUCAGCUAAGUGACAUGUAAUGUAAUGAACACAAAGGGAUUCUGUAUUUGCGCAAAGCCUGAAAAACCGGGUUACUUGGCCAAUGUUUUGAUAACCAACUGCAGCCAGUUCAGUGUUUCCCAUCAUUUUAAUAGGGGUGCAGGGUGCCCCCCCAUGAAAUAGUAAACUUGGGACCCACUGCAGUUUACCUAAUCAAUGGGAACAACUUGUGUGUAUACUAGGGGUGUAACGAUUCAUUUUAACUUCGAUUUGAAUCGUGAUUCAUGGUUGCCGAUUCGAUUCAUGGACCAUCAGGGUUAAUUUAGAACGAUUGGAUUCAGUGACUUGAAAUCGAUUCAGUAACUUACAGGCAAAGUUUCCGAGAUCCCUGUUUCUUGUAAGGAAAUCAGGUUUAAAUUAAUUAUGGAUAUUAUAAACAAGCAAACAACAAUUAAUGGCAAAUGUAUUAACCUUUUAUUGUGCAACCACUUUCAAUGUAAACAUUACACAGUUUUUGGAUCAAUUUACAGAAUCCCGGAUUUUCAACCACAUUGUAGGGUCGCAUGUCUUGGCAAUUGUUACUGUGAUGUUGAGUUUCGUGCUGGCGAGGCCUGAGGUGUCUGCAGAGCUGGAGUUACCGCUGCAGCAGCAGCAGCAGGUAACGCUGCUAGAGGUGCCUGACUGUCGGCUUUGUUUAAUCCCAUGGCGCCUUAGUAGCAGGCCGGAAAGAUUGGUUGUGUUUGAGUGUUUUUUAUUUGUCUUCUACAUAUUCUACAAACAGCGACCGACUUAUUUAGAACACCUCCGUGUUUGCAAAAGCCCAAAUGUUUCCACAAGCUGAAUCGAUAAGUUAGUUUGUAAAUGUCUUGCUCGCAGUAAUCUCCUCCAUCCGCCACGCUGUGUUUUGUUGUUCCGAGUUUCGUGCGGCUGCCGCUGCGUACGGAUGACGUCACAGACAGGCAGACUGAAUCGAGUAACGUUUAACGUGUCUAAAGUGCUAAAAAAUCCAAUGUGCAGUUUCCAAGUAUCGAUACAAUCAAUUAUGUACCAUUUAAAAUCGAUUUGUAAUCGAUAUAUGUCAUCCGGAAUGCCGAUUUGCGGAGCACAGAUAGAUUCAGUUUGGAUCGCAGGAAUAUAAAAUCGAUUAAUCGCUUCAGUGAAUGAAUCGUUACACCCCUAGUGUACACGUACUCAUGUCAUUUAGCAUGAGUAGGGUUUUGGUUUUAUCUGUUUAAGUUACGUAGCAUGCGGGUCGAUACAUUUGUCUCUGUGUUGUUUUAGUGUUGCCUCUCUGAAUAUCGGCAGGUCACAUGAUCUAAAGGCACCUUCCGUUCAUAUUGUAAUGACAUGUUCUGUGAGCGAGGUUACACAUUAAAAGUUUGUCCUUAAUAAUAAUAAUGUAAGGGAAAUAACAUUUCCAUUAAGUAGUUUUGAAACUAGUACUUUUACUUAAAAGGUAAAAGUAUCAACUCAAGCUUUUUACUUAACUCUUUUUAAACCCUAGUAUAAACUUCUACUUGAGUAUAGAUGUGAAUACUUUUGACACCUCUGCCUGUAACCUCUGGGGAGAUAAUCCGUGUGUGUGUGUCCACAGGUUAAUCUCUCAUACUACUAUACUGACCUCCUAAGCAUUUACUAAUUUAUGUUUUUGUUAUGUUCUUGACUGGAUAAUGUCCUGUUUUUUUAAUAGUCAUGAGAGUUUUGUAAAUCCUACUGGCCUUUAAAAAUUCCUUCAAAAACUCUUAAAAUAUAUUCACUGCAAUCACAGCUGUGAUUGGUUUGCAGACCAAACGAGACUGGGAAAACUUUAAACCACAGAAAACGUGACAAGAAUGAACAUUCCGUACACAUUUACUUUACGCAGUUGUUUCUUUAAAAUAAGAUUACAGGAAAGGCAAGUUAUUGAGAAGGAAGCACGCUGACAUGGAAACAAAGGAAAGGACACUGCACAGUUACUCUGCAUCUAAUAAUAGAGAUAUAAUGGCAUUCUGAUUGCCAAACCACUGCUCCUCUUUUAAACAAGCUGCUAAGCACAUCAGCCUUCUCUGCAUUUCAUUAGUUUCAUGUCAGGAAACAGUGUUCCUUCUGCUAGACAAGCUUGAAAUGUCAUUAAAGCAGUGAAGCUCCAGGACAGCUUCAUUUCCUCAUCAAAGCAGGAGCCAUGUGGAACUGGAUUAGUGACAAUCCAGAUUUUAUAGAUGCUUAUAUUGUAUGUCAAGGGACACAUUCAGCUAUGUGAAUUAUUAACAGGCAUUGGAAUUAAAUACUUUACCUGAUGUUGUAAAGGUUAUAAUUCCCAACUGAAAUGAAUCUGACUUCAAUAUGUCGUCUUAUUGUUAAGGAGAUUUUGUUCAGGUGGCUAUGGGGUCAUUAGGUUCCGUUUGCUAGCUCCAAAUAGCUCCGCCUCUCGUAUCCAACAAAAAGAUGUGCCCAUGCUGACAUUACCUAAGACAGCGAGGACUUCUACCGAGCGUUCUCGUUCACCAUUGUUUUUUUGGGCACCAACCCUGCCCUGCCUGUACGUCCCACUGGCCCCAAAACCUUGCGGUCUCAUGUGGAACUUUUAUCUGGCCCAGUGCAAAAUUACUGGACUAUUUUGCAUGGAAUAUAUUUCUACUCUUACUCCUCUGACUAUUUUUAAGUGGAUUUUGACUUAUUGUAGCCAGGACUCUGGACUGAUUUGAACAAGGUAAAGCAUGCAUAGCUGUGUCCAUGAUGAGACACACUGUGCGAUUGUGUGGAUGUGUGAUUUGUUUUUUUUAGAUCGAUGUAAACUGUAUCAAUAGAUUCAGGGCAAUCUGCUGAUGCUAUUAGGUUUUUUUAUGCCAUGGUAGCAUUUACUUUGACUGACAAAGUUGUACACCGCUGUACACACAAUUUUUGGAUACUUUUGCAUAGCAUAUUUAUUUUACUAAUCUUUACACUGGCUAAAGUUGUGUUUGGAGAAUUUUCAAGUGGAGUGUGGCUUAUUGUAGCCAGGACUCUAAUGAAUCGAACGAGGCAAAGCAUUCAUAUUUGCUGGAUAUAUUUUUUUGUGAUUAAUACCCUUAUUGUUGAUUCUGGUUCUGACCCAGUUUUGUCACUUUUGGGAGACUUUAGGGUGAAAAGUGUGUGUUGUUCUAAAAAUAUAUUAAUUUUUAAGAGACAAUUUCAUAUAAUGUUGUUGAAUGUAAAAUUAAAUUGUUUUUACAAAUGAAGGCCAGUUUAUUCAACAUUUAUUACGAUGAGACAAAACUAAUAUCUACUAUUUUACUAUUUUUUUUAACAAAACAACCAUAUUGCUUUGUCUUUGAUUUUUUACUUUUUAAUCAGAACAUUGCUACUUUCCUCUUAGUAUUGGAUUUCAGCUGACCCCCAUCAUUGUUGCUUGUAAGGACUAUGUGGAACUUUGAGAAAUUCCUUGUUAUUGAUGAUCUGUUCUCAGAUAUUUAUUAGUAUCAACAAAAAUAUCCAGUGCUAAACCACAUUUUAUAAACACAUUCUAUUAUUAAUAUGUAUUUAUUUAUUACACUGUGUACCUUGUUUUUCAAGAGAAGCAGUAUGGGAGAAAUGGAAAUAGAAGCGGAAAUAUCCAGAAAUAUUGAACACUUAAUAUCGGAGACUCAUCUUAGUUUCUUAAUGUAAAUGACCUUCAAAUUAGAAUUAAAAUAUAUUAAAGACCAUGGGUACAAUAUACAAUAGAACAGUGUUUUUCAACCAGUGUGCCGCGAGAGGCUGUCAGGUGUGCCGUGAAAAAAAAUCAUUUUUUACAUACUGUCACUUCAUUGGUGAAAAAAAGAGCCAACUUGUGUGUUUGUGUGUGUGUCGUUGCGCUGUUGGUGGUAUGAAGGCUCAAUACUCCCCUCUGCCUGUGGGUGGCGGUACGCAGCGUAAUUAAUAGGCAGAUUUGCUGAGGCGACAAUUUAAAAAAGUGAGAUUUCAGACUGGCGCAUGCUUCUGCGUUUGCGUCUGCGUCGGUUCUGCGUGUGUUGCAGAGUAAUUCACCUCCAGAACAACAGGCGGAGUAACGUGUUUUUGUUGAAGACGACCUAGAGAGUCACGUCUAUUUAUUUAUUUGUUUAUUAAUUUAUCAUAAACUUUAUUGGCCCGUGCAUCGGCACUGCUGCUUUUCAUCGUGGACACAUUUGUCCCGUAUUUUCCUCCACAACUUUGUGCACCUCUCGACCGGCAAACCGGCGUUUGAGGCGAUCUCCCUCCAUGAAUCCAACCUGCUUCUACAACCCGCCAAUGACGGCUUGUAUAAGCACUCAUAUUUACGCAGUUCUUCCGACAAAAGUUCUCAAAUCUGAUCCGUUUCUCUCGUAAACAUUCUUCAUUUUUAAUAAUGGCGGUCUCGGGCUAUGAAAGCGGAAAUGUGAGACUCCGUAAAGGACGUAGUUAGCGGACCAAUCACAGCCUGGUGCGCUGCGGGAGGCUUGCGUCGCAGAAAAAUGGCUCGACACACGCAAGGACGCAAGGGGGUGUGAAAAGCGACGCAAGGGAAAACGCAGAAGCAUAAACUAGGCUUAAGAGAUACCUGGGCAUAAAGCCUGUGCCAUCUUGGCAUUAGGAUGAUGUUAAGUUUAAUAAAACACAACAAAUAGAACACGCGUUUCCCUGAUUUCUUAGAGUAUAUUAUGCUCAUGCUGAAACUAUGUUUGGGAUUGAUUUUCAUAUCAUUUCCGGUUGUUGGUGUGCCGUGAGAUUUUUUCUGUGUCUUAAGUGUGCCUUGACGCAAAAAAGGUUGAAAAACACUGCAAUAGAAGAAGUAGCCCCUUGGCUUUUGCCCAGCAUAAUAGUAAAUAGCUUAUAGACUAUAAAUGACAUUUUGUUUAUGUUGUGCUACUAGCUAAAGCUGUAAAUCUGUAUAUGAAAAUAUUGCAUUAUUCUUUCAGUCAUUUGAAUCAGUGUAAACCUCAAUGUUUCAUAGUGAUUUUCGGAUAAUAUUGAAAUUGUAUUACAUGUUACAUGAUAUAGCCAUAUCUGACCCACCCUAAUCUAUAUUUUCUUUCUUAUCCCUUGAGAAAAACUACCGUAACUCUAUGGCACACUAAAUAAAAGGGUCUAAAAGAUAUGAAUGUUACUUUUCCAUUUGGUUGGAGCUUGAGAUAUGUCUUGGGUGAAGGGUGGCCCUCCCCUUUUUCUUUGCACUUUGAUUGGAUGCAGCCACAGCGUUUGUUCUCCUGUAUGAAGUCAGGCCUCCCGCACACUCUGAAUGAUCAAAAGCUCUUAUUGCAAAAUAAUAAGCCCGGGUCGAUACACGAAAAGGUACAUCCACACAUAGAGAAGGAUGACAUCCAUUAACUUUCUGGCUGGCCGGCUGGCUAUGUGACCAGGGAUUACAGCAUGACGCAGCAGCAGGUGGUGGGUGGCAUGCCUCCCCAGAUGUCGUCUCCUCUGGGGCUGUGACCAUGUGUCUAAUUCUUCUUAACAUAUCAAACACCUCCACCACACAGUUUUUUUUAAACAUGGCAAGAUGUGAUAACCACAACUGAGCCGAAAUGGAGUUCAGAGCAUACAGGGGCCGAGGGAGAUUAGUUAUCAGGGAGGGGUUUUAACAUUUAAAUGAUUUUGUCAUUAAUUAAAUGCAAUGUUAUUUCAGGCUAUUCAAAUAAACACAUACUGAAGUGUAAGGUAAAAAGGUGUCCGUUAUUCUCUUAAGGCCAACUUUUGUAAAUCAUUUUAGGCUAAUAUGGUCAAUAUGAAAGGCCAGAUAUAAAAAAUGGUCACAUGUAUUGGUUUAAUUGAUGUAAAUAUAAAAAUUCAAAGAUUUAGAGAAUAUCCACAUACUUAAUUGUCAUAUUUCCUGAUACUGUAACAAUAUAAUUUUCAUAUGAAUUCAUUUAUUUUACACAAUUCCAUGUCUAUCGAUGGAGAUGGAAAAUCUUCAGUAAAAGCUCUAAAUGAAAUAUCAGGUGGAUUACAAAAACUCAACAAAUUAGAUGUACAUUAAAUGUAUAGGUCCAUUCAUCAUCUCCAGCCUUCCUCUUAUUGUCCUUAGUGGGCAGUGGUCAGGACCUCCCUUGUCGUCCUUACGGACCACUGUGUCCGUAAGUGCAAUAGACAGGGUUUUAGACAUUUUGUAGUAGUAAAAAAUCUAAAAGUAUUGUCACCACCAUGGGCUGUUGACAAAUUAUGAAGGAACUACAAUCAAAUUUGACUUUUCAUUAGUAAUGACUAAAUUUUCCUGCAUGAGUUUCCAUUCGGUUUGUUUUCCGGCCCUAACUGCAGAUCUCAGAAAAACUGAGAGCCUGGCCAUUGACUUAUUGACCUAAUCACUAUAGUUCCCUUACAGUGGGUCAGAAUGUCCGAUCAUCUCUGGUUUUGAACCCAAAUGCAGACUACACUUGGUGGUGACAAAAGGUGAGUAUUUAUUGAACACACAAUUGUUAAUUAUGGUAUUCCAGACAUGUUCCAGACAGGUGGGUACCAGUGAUGAAGUGAGUGGCAAUGUUCCGGUUGCCCGGUAGGAGUGACGGGAAAUCCAAGGUGAACAUACUUGAAGCAGAGGUACAGGAAACGGAUAAGCACACAAGUAAAUAGAACAAGAGACUGAUUUAUUUACUAUUGAGGCUGACACGCAAGCACAACAUACGAAUUAUGGCUAACGAUCCAGCAGGGAGUGGAUGUCAGGUCUCUGCUUAAAUAGUGUUGUAGACGAUGAUCAGGACCAGAUGUGUUGAUUGCGGAUUUGGAACAGGUGGGAGCGGGCAUCUGUGAUCCUGGAAUUCCCACCUUCUCAUUGCCCAGCAACCGGAACAGGUUACGUUCAGGGACACCAAACACAAAACAGACAGACAAACAGAAAACACACUCAAGGAGCUGGGAUCGUGGCACAACUCAUCAGGAACCUAGAGAGAGCUCUUUGGUCAUAUAUUCAAGUAUUUGAUUCACUUCACAGUUUUUGUUUCAAUUCAUACAGAAGUCUGGUGAAAUAUAACCCUCAUUAUAUAUAUAUAUAUAUAUAUAUUUUUUUUUUGUUGAUGCACACAGGAUUGUGGGUCAGAAUAACCCAUGUUGGCUUGUAUACUGUAAAAUGUGACCUGAUCCAAUAAUCGGCAACAGCAGUAUGAAAGAGGCAAAAAGGUGUUUUGAGAAAGCUUGAGUCAAUGCAAACAGAGAGGUCCCUGAGCAUGCAAACGUCGACCAAAUAAUUACGCAGCUGCAGCCGAACGAGACACAGCUAGAAAAAAAUGGGUAGAUGUUUCUACAUAACUUCAAGGGAAUCAUGGUAAAAACACAAGAUAAUUCUGAAAUAAUUAGAGGAAAGGGCAUACUCAUUGGCUUUAAAAUUCAAUCAAGUAAAAUCAUGAACAUUGAAAAGGAGAUUAAAAUAUAUGAAGGAACCCUAUAUGGAACAGAGCCAGAACCAACUUCCAAAGAAAUAUUGUGUACUCAUCACUAACAAAUAUAUGAAUUAUUUACCUUGUUCGAAAUGUUGUAAAAGUCUUUCAGGAAUCAGGAAACAUUUAUUGCCAAAAUAUGUCAAAUAUACAAGGAAUUUGUCUUGGCGGUUGGUGACAGUGUAACAGUAGACAACAAGACAGCAGUGCACAAGUAAUAAAAUAAAAUGCUAAUGUGAUGGGUUAGUAGAAUAAGGCUAUGGGUUAGUAUAAAAUGAGAAUAAAGUUAAAGUUAAAAAAUAUUUUAAAAUAAAGUGCACUAUCAAACAAGUGACAAAGUGACGAGUGACAACAAAGUAACGAGUGAAAAAUUACAGUUAAAGUGACAUGUGCAGUAUGAAGCAGAGUGACCGGUGGAAUGUCAGAGUCACACAGUGGGGGACCGGGCUCGGUUGAUGAGCCCGACUGCCGACGGGAAGAAGAAACACUACUGCAACAAAAUAUAAAAUAUGAUGUGCAAAUGAGUUCAGAAAUGUGCACACAGCGGUUUAUCGAGGCAAGAAGCCAACACAAAAACAACAUGGCAAAUUGCUAGCCGAAUAAAAGCUGAAAACGUUGAUGUGAGAAUCAGUUCUCUCAGACAAACCUUGCCAAAACCGGAGCAAAAAUAGCCACCAAUCCAGAAUAUACAUGCCCCUUACCUUUUUGAGGUUUUUAACAAAGUUAUCAGAUUUUUGAUUGAGGUGUGUCCACCCGCCAUGGAAUGCGCAUCACAAGCAAAGCCAACGUCUUCCACUCGGGUUUUAGGGAAAGGGAGUUUUUUUAGCCAAGUGUCAUUUUAUGCUCUACCCACUUUGGCUUCUGGGUGGCUAAGGAAGCUGUCACCCUUUUCCAUGUGGAUGUAGUUGGAUCUAAUGGGAUGAGACAAUCAAAAUGAGUGGUUGAAAGGCGGGAACCGGUCUACCACAGGCUGAUGCUACAAAAUCCUGAUAUUUUGAGCCCGUGAGGCCUUAAUAAAAGCCUCCACUACUUUUUAGUAUUCUUUCAACAUGAAACUUUACAUUAUUACUGUCCACACAAGAGUUAUUCCAAUUUAUAUCAUGGGUAUGCCAUUUUUGGAGCAGAGGCUAAAAAAAAAUGUCUAUUUACUAAAAGGUUUUAAAGUAAACAGUAUUUAGUUGAGUUAAUUAACUGAGUUCAGCGAAGUGUUUAUGUAGGAUAAAGACUUCCACUUGGUCAUCCUACUCCUAAAGCCCUUUUAUUUUACACAUUUAUUUAAGCUGUAUAAUUAAUUAAUAUACAUUUUUUGUUAUAUUGGAGUCUGCAUUGUAUUGUUGAAUAUAUUGUAGUAAUUAUUUUUAACUCUGGCACAGUACUGUAAGUGACGAACACACAUUUCACCAGAUGUGUUGAAUAUGUGACCAAAAAAAAGGUGAACCUUAAAAGAGAGGUCCUGUGUAUUAGAAUGUACAAAAGUUAAGUGAGUGAAGGUCAGAAAAUAGAUUUGAAAAAGUAUUAUUUCAACCUUUCUUUAUCAAAAGGUUUAUCAACAAAUUUGCAUAAAAACAUUUCUUUCAAAAGAGUACUGAAGUUUUCCUCAAUAAAAUACAGUCAAGCAGUUGAAGGAGACAUGCUUGUUUUUAGGCUCAUCCUUGUAUCUUGAGUUUCUACCAAAACAUGUUUGCAUAAUAAUAUAUAAACAGAUUCCCAGACAGAAGUCAUAAUGAAAACAGAUUGACUGUUAAACUGAGCCGUCUCUUUCAGCCUAAUCACCUCCACAUGCAUUGUUACUCUGUAUAUACACAGUUGCGUGAGUUCAAUUUAUUUUAUUUAGUGUAAUUCAAAAUCUCAUACUACAAUAUUGCCUCAGUAGGUUUCACCCCAGCAUCUCCAGGUUGUAUGGAUUACAUUCAGCAUAAACCUUGUCUCCUGUUAUGUCCUUUUGACUGAAUCCUAUGCUUUUCAAUUUUUUAAAUGAGAUUAUUGCCGUCCAUACAAAUUUCACAAUUAUAUGUCGCUGUUCAUCAAAUUAACCGGUGAACAGCGACAUAUAAUUGUGAAAUUUGUAUUGCCAAUUUAAUUUGAAACUCGAUUGUUGGACGCAAAAACACAAUGCUUGUCGUCUUGGGUGAACAGCAUUGACUUUUCAACUGAAAAAUAAAAUUCUGAAAGGGAGUGUUUGCAAGCUCACUUGGGAGCAUGUAUGAGAGAUCUCCUGAAGCUUUAUGUUUCUUUGGUUUCUUUUCUUCCUUCUCUAUAGCUGUCCUUUCAGGCUAUGUUCUGGAGGGAUAAGCAGCAGCAGAGACGUUUAAUGAUCCCUGCUUGACCCCCACAGCACUUUUCACUUGAUUAAGCAAGGCUCAGACUCUAUAAAAGAGUUUAAUAUGCUUAGGACCACAUGGCUGCAAUUUACCUCCAUCCAUGGAGCAGCAAUAUGGUGGAUCAUCAGAAAAUCUUCAGCAUGCUCAAACUGUGUCUCCUUCACCCGGUGCUGGCCCAGUCUCCGGCUCCCUCCCUGCCUCCCUCCCGCCAGGCACAACGAGAGCUGGAAUUCAUAAAACUCUUUGAAGGCGCCAUCGGCAUAAUUGUCUUGGCAUAGGCACGGACGCACCAGCAUGUUUUCAUUGAUGACUGUGGUCAGGAGAUAAAAUGAUGAAUGGGGGUUUUUUUAGGAGGGAGGUGGAAAAAAAAUGGGGGAUGGAAUGAUGGAGGAGAAAGAGUAAGAAAAGAGAGAGUCUCCCAGGCCAGUAAAAUUGGACUGAGAUCUGAUGCCAACGUGGCAGUCCCUUUUAACUGAGGUUUGAGAGGGAGGAAUAAAAAAUGAAUUCAUUUUUAAACAUGAACAUCACUUUAGCGAGAUAAUGAGUGUCCUGAAUGCCGGCUGACAAACGAACCUCCAACCUAGUCCUCUCUUCGCAUGCGUAUGCAUGACAGAUGACACUUCAUUUAACUACAGAGACAGGGCCAUGAGUGAUGAUCAGAAUUCCUCAGCAAUGUCUUCCCUCUAAAAUACUCUUGCUAAUUAGUUCAAUGCGUCACUGGGCUGAAUAAACUCUCUCCCUGGUCCUCUCAAAGGCUCUUUUUUAAUCAAUCAGAUUAGUUGCAGUUACACCUCGAUGUGUUCUUAUAACUACCGCACGACUUUCAGGGAGACACAACUUUAGUUUACUGUCCAAUAAAUUUGCACAAUUAGGUGUUACACCAAUAAUCGACUUAAGAUCUGAGCAAUUAACAUUCAAAGACAAAAACACCAAGAGCCAUUGAGCCAUAUCCACCCAGGCAUCUUUGUUUUCUGGAGCCCCUGAAUAAAAGUCCCAGGCACAUGGCAUGGAACAAAACCAUUCUUUAUUUUCUUUCUAAAUUGCUUUCAUAGCUGCCAAAGAGGCAAUCAGUAGGCUUAAUAGAAUUGGUAUCAUUUGAUGUACAUCAACCCUCCGCAUAUGUCUUCUGAUAUGUAUAUUUGCUUGUUUUAGACCUAAGGCACACACUACAAUAAUUAGUUGGUUUCCCUGAUGGAAGUGCUGCUUGAUGUAUAUGCUCAUAGCCACUAUUUAUAGCCAUGAUUCCCAAUCGCAUACAAACCAGCAGUUUGGCAAAUGGACAGACAGAUAACAAGUUGGCCAGUUAAAGUAAAGUCUCCAUUCUGUCAAUGAGGCCGGAGCCGGGGAGGAGGACAAGGACGCAGAGAGGUUUGACUGCUAUAGAUUUAUUCCAAUGAUCCAGUAGUACAAUUAUUCCUAUAUCUAAUAAUACCAUAUGCAAAGAUCCUUUCACAAACCAACACGAACGCGGGUGUGGACAUGCACGACUACAAGACACACUGGCACAGGACAAAGGGAGACGCAGACAAUAAGUAUCCAUGAGGGAGGUGAGGGAACAGGAGGAGACAAUUAGGAAUCAGGGGAGAUAAUCGACAGGAGACACCUGAGGAAGGGCAAGGCACCUGCAACGAGAGGGGGUUUAGACGCCACAAUAAAACAGGAAGUAUCAAAAUCAGACGUAAGACGGGACACAAACACAAACUUCACCAACAUGUAUGACACAUUCCUGGAUGGUCUCCACCCAGGUCAGAACAUCAAAAGUGCUUCCAUUACAAAACAUAACCCUGCCAUUGGGAGCAAACAAUUCAUGUGACAUCUCUUCCAUAUCUUGCUACUGAGCUUUUAUAUACAGAGGCCACUUAGCAACUUUCACAGGAAUGAACAUGGCCCUCCCUCCAAUGCUCUGUCAAACUUUUUUUUAAGUCUAUGGCCAAAGCCCAUUUAGUAGCUUUCUCACAAUUACAGCACACCAUCACAGUGCAACAAUGCUGUAACAUAUCAAACAGCAAUUGCGACAAAGAGGCAAGAUAUGAUGUUUGUUUCUUUUAAUUGCAGAAACAUCAGUCUGAAUAAAAUAAACAUACCAUGAAUUCAGCAUGACAACAUAACCUGUAGAUGGUGCACAUUGUCCGUGUAACAGGGUAUAUUUGGUGCCUUAUGAUUUUAAUUCAAAUGUGUCACAGGAACGAAAGAGGUACCAACUUACCAACCCGGCUUUAAACCUUUUCUUGAUCUGAAUAUUAAUGUCAGAUAUAAAUGGGGAGAACAUUACAAGAGUAAAAAGUUUGCCAACAAGCUCGAGUCCUGUGGCUUGAAGAAUGAUUUCCUUUUUGUCGUCUCGGGUUCUCUUUUUUUGUUGAAUUUUGACCCAAACCUUCAAAGGCAAAAAUAAAUUCAGGUUAUUCUAUUUACCUGAUUGAUUUAAUAUGACCAAUUACAGUUACAGCAUGUUGUGUUGUGUUUGUCUAUACAGAGGUUAGUGGAAAACACACAAACAGCCUCUUGUAACCUCUCCUUCCAUCUCCACCCCUGUGUUCCUUUAAUGAGGUUCUGCUGAAGUGGAUCCCACCAGAGACCAGCGACAGUAUUAAGGAUGAGAUGUCAUCUUCACAACAGUAUUCAUUUUACCUGACAGAUCAAUGUUGCAGCAGUGAGCAGGACCUGGAGAGAAAAGGGAGACUCUGCAGCAGACGCUCAGGGGCAAGGCCGAGGAGAGGAGAGGAGCGGAGUGGACGAGGACAACUACGCGAAACCUGCUCACUGCGAGAAAAUAAAUAAAACUUAUUCCUCAGAAGAAUCAUGUCUCCGUGCGUCCUUACACGAACCUUAAAAGGUGACAACCCUGAUGACGGAGAGGGACCGAUGCAGCCGGCGAUCACACUCGGUCGGAUGCUGGGGGAGAUUGCGGCGAUGCAGAGCGAGCAGGCCGAGUCCAACCGGCUUUUCCUGGGGGCGCUGCAGGCACAGGCGGACCGGCAAACCCAUGUGAUGGAGCUGUUGGCGGCCCGGCCAGUUGCGGCCCCGCUGGCGCCGGGUUCCCCGCCGUAUGACGCUGCAUAAGAUGACCCUGGGGGAUGAGGUGCAGUCGUUCCUGGAGAUGUUUGAGGCAAUGGCGGGGUUUCGAGGGGCGAGGCUGGGGCCGGGGGACCGCCCAUUCGCGUUCGCACAGAGGCUCAGAGACGCGGCCAACAGGUGGCUGUAGCCGGAGGGCACGGGAGGAGCGCCGGCGGUGGUGGUGGAACAGCUACUGGAGGGUCUGCCGCUGCGGACCGCGGCCUGGGUCCGUUACCACCGGCCGGCGACGCUGGAGGCCGCCGUCACCCUUGCGGAGGACCACCUGGCGGGUCACCCCGGCGGGCCGGGAGAGGGCGGUCGGCCGGCCACAUCACCACAGCCCGUCCCCACGCCACAAAGGAGGGCCCCGCAGCCGGUCGCAGCUCGGGCCCUGCCGACCCCGCGAGAUCCAGCCUUUCAAUGGAGUACUGAUCCACCCGGCCUGACCGGCACUCUCCCCAACUUACAGAGGGCUCCUCAACCGCCAGGGCAGGAGUGUUGGAGGUGCGGGCAACCCGGACACUACCGGCGGGAGUAGUUUCCGAAGCGUCAACCAAUGCAGGGUACACAAAAGUUUAAAGAAAGAAUGUGCAUUGCCUAAAUUGGUACUCACCUGCUGUGUGUGCCCUUCUUUACAAUUGCCUUUCAGUGCAGUAUCUAAAGAACCAAAGCCAAGGAGUGGUGAGUAGCUAAUUAGGAAAACCUAAAACAGUUUGAUUUCCCCAAACCGGUGCGAGGUAUGCGAAGGCAGUACCAGUCGAUUGCGUGCCAUCGCUGAAAAAAAUGACAUUACGUCACACAUGCGCGGCCUACCAAAACUAAUGUAAUGCUAAUUGCUAGGUUUGACCCAAUCCAAGUCUGUUUUGCCUUCUCUUCUGAAGCAGAAGAAACUUGAAUCCUUAAACUCCACUUUUGUGGUGUCAAAACACCACAUGGUUAUUGUUCACUUCAUUAGGGUGUCAAGCGAUUGCUGUUUUGCAUUUUGAGGAGUUUCUGCGGAGGCCAAUCGACCUUUUGUCUCCUAAACGACGGGGGAGUGGUCAGCGCAGCCGUAGCCGACUUCGACUAACGAGGGAGUAUUUAACUAGAGGUCGAGUGAAGGAUUAGCUUCAGCGUUUGCAUAACGGGGAAAGACGAAGACGAGCAGGACAAAGCCUAGAGAGUCUUUCGUGGGAGUCAAGACGAGCAAUUCCCCCCCCCCCCUGAACGGACGAAUUCCAGACGGCUCAAACUGGCAGAGAGCGGA
ensembl:lncRNA